UAUACAUGCAAGUCGAGCGGACAGAUGGGAGCUUGCUCCCUGAUGUUAGCGGCGGACGGGUGAGUAACACGUGGGUAACCUGCCUGUAAGACUGGGAUAACUCCGGGAAACCGGGGCUAAUACCGGAUGGUUGUUUGAACCGCAUGGUUCAAACAUAAAAGGUGGCUUUGGCUACCACUUACAGAUGGACCCGCGGCGCAUUAGCUAGUUGGUGAGGUAACGGCUCACCAAGGCAACGAUGCGUAGCCGACCUGAGAGGGUGAUCGGCCACACUGGGACUGAGACACGGCCCAGACUCCUACGGGAGGCAGCAGUAGGGAAUCUUCCGCAAUGGACGAAAGUCUGACGGAGCAACGCCGCGUGAGUGAUGAAGGUUUUCGGAUCGUAAAGCUCUGUUGUUAGGGAAGAACAAGUACCGUUCGAAUAGGGCGGUACCUUGACGGUACCUAACCAGAAAGCCACGGCUAACUACGUGCCAGCAGCCGCGGUAAUACGUAGGUGGCAAGCGUUGUCCGGAAUUAUUGGGCGUAAAGGGCUCGCAGGCGGUUUCUUAAGUCUGAUGUGAAAGCCCCCGGCUCAACCGGGGAGGGUCAUUGGAAACUGGGGAACUUGAGUGCAGAAGAGGAGAGUGGAAUUCCACGUGUAGCGGUGAAAUGCGUAGAGAUGUGGAGGAACACCAGUGGCGAAGGCGACUCUCUGGUCUGUAACUGACGCUGAGGAGCGAAAGCGUGA
rnacentral:rRNA from 1 species